rnacentral:rRNA from 1 species
UACAGAGGGGGCAAGCGUUGUUCGGAAUUACUGGGCGUAAAGGGCGCGUAGGCGGCCUUCUAAGUCGAACGUGAAAUCCCCGGGCUCAACCCGGGAACUGCGUCCGAUACUGGAAGGCUUGAAUCCGGGAGAGGGAUGCGGAAUUCCAGGUGUAGCGGUGAAAAUGCGUAGAUAUCUGGAGGAACACCGGUGGCGAAGGCGGCAUCCUGGACCGGUAUUGACGCUGAGGCGCGAAAGCCAGGGGAGCAACGGG